AGGAACUGUACAACAAACCUGUCCAAACAGGCUUUUGUUAAUCAUUGUCAGUCUGUAAGCUUGUUUUCAGUCUGUCCUUCUUCUUUCUGCUCAUUUCACUAUUUAUCGAUUUUGCCUCCAGUGUUUGUUUAUUAGUAGUGGUGUUUGGUCCUGGCUACAGAGUAUUAGUUAAGUUUUGAUUCCUGCUUACAGACGUUUCCUCUUGGAUUAUCUUGGAUUCCUCACAGCCACGUCGAUCUCUCACUUCCAGGCUUCUCUCAGUACUUUAUAUCAGGACAGGGCUCAUGCUGAUGUCCAUAAACACCAUCACAGAUUCAAGAAAGAAAUGGCUUCUUCCAGACAUGGGUUCUUCAAAUCUGGACCUCAAUUCCAAAUCCAGGC